rnacentral:sRNA from 1 species
CUUGGUCAUUUAGAGGAAGUAAAAGUCGUAACAAGGUUUCCGUAGGUGAACCUGCGGAAGGAUCAUUAAAAGAUAUAGCAUAUUCUUCUGAAUAUACUUUAUUAACCCAUUCCGAGUACCUUACCCGUUGCUUCCGCGAGGCUGUCCUCACGGCCCUCUGAAGAUUUAUCUUUGGGGAGUCCUUGCGGAAGGUAUACAAUAAACUCUUGCAUUACCAUGUCAUCUGUCUGAAUCUGUUUAAAACAAAUAUUAAAACUUUCAACAACGGAUCUCUUGGUUCUCGCAUCGAUGAAGAACGCAGCGAAAUGCGAUAAGUAGUGUGAAUUGCAGAAACUAGUGAAUCAUUGAAUCUUUGAACGCACAUUGCGCCUCCUGGUAUUCCGGGAGGCAUGCCUGUUCGAGCGUCAUUAAAAACCACUCAAGCUCUUUUGCUUGGUCAUGGAAGAAGAGUUUGCUUGCAAUCUCCCUUCCGAAAUUCAAAGGCGGAAAGUCUCAGAGCCCCGGCGUAGUAAUAAUAUUUCGCUUGGAACUUGUGAUGAUCCUGCCCUUAACCCCCAAUUUUAUCUAGGUUGACCUCGGAUCAGGUAGGGAUACCCGCUGAACUUAAGCAUAUCAAUAAGCGGAGGAAAAGAAACCAACAGGGAUUGCCUUAGUAACUGCGAGUGAAGCGGCAAAAGCUCAAAUUUGAAAUCUGGCGUCUUCGACGUCCGAGUUGUAAUUUGGAGGGGCAUCUUCGGAAUUGGCGCCGUCCUAAGUUCCUUGGAACAGGACGUCAUAGAGGGUGAGAAUCCCGUGCCUGGAUGGCUGUCCAAUUCCAUGUGAAGUGUCUCCGACGAGUCGAGUUGUUUGGGAAU